rnacentral:piRNA from 1 species
UUCAAUCAGCCAUCACGAGCGAAGUGC